GACGAACGCUGGCGGCGUGCUUAACACAUGCAAGUCGAACGCUGAAGCUCAGCUUUUGUUGGGUGGAUGAGUGGCGAACGGGUGAGUAACACGUGAGUAACCUGCCUCCUUCUUUGGGAUAACGCCCGGAAACGGGUGCUAAUACUGGAUAUUCACUGGUCUUCGCAUGGGGGUUGGUGGAAAGGGUUUUUCUGGUGGGGGAUGGGCUCGCGGCCUAUCAGCUUGUUGGUGGGGUGAUGGCCUACCAAGGCUUUGACGGGUAGCCGGCCUGAGAGGGUGACCGGUCAUAUUGGGACUGAGAUACGGCCCAGACUCCUACGGGAGGCAGCAGUGGGGAAUAUUGCACAAUGGGCGCAAGCCUGAUGCAGCGACGCCGCGUGAGGGAUGGAGGCCUUCGGGUUGUGAACCUCUUUCGCUCAUGGUCAAGCCGCAACAAUGGUUGCGGUGAGGGUAGUGGGUAAAGAAGCGCCGGCUAACUACGUG
rnacentral:rRNA from 1 species